UGACCGGAGAGAGUGAUUGGUUGAACCAGCUUUCUCCUGCCUGCGCGCACUCCGCUCGUUCACCACACAGUCGGGCGCGUGACCAGUCUCCUGCACGGCGUCAGCAAACAUCCGGAGGCAGCGCACAGUUAGCUUCGCUGGACACUAGAUACAGCAAGUUGUACAUGAAGAAUUCCAGGACCUGGAGGUUGUCUGCCACGGACCAGAGCAACGACCAGACGAUCCCUGUCAACAGCUAGAGAAGCAGGUCAGUAGAGGACCAGGACCACUGCCUAAGAGUCGACGACUGCACAGCCUGACCCGUCAGCCGAUAGACCUGCUUUG